rnacentral:rRNA from 1 species
GCAGGCUGCAACUCGCCUGCAUGAAGCUGGAAUUGCUAGUAAUGGCAGGUCAGCAUACUGCCGUGAAUACGUUCCCGGGCCUUGUACACACCGCCCGUCACACCAUGAGAGUUGGGAAUACCCGAAGCCUGUGAGCUAACAUAUGAGGCAGCAGUCGAAGGUAGAAUCAAUGAUUGGGGUGAAGUCGUAACAAGGUACC